AUUGAACGCUGGCGGCAUGCCUUACACAUGCAAGUCGAACGGUAACGGGCCUUCGGGUGCCGACGAGUGGCGAACGGGUGAGUAAUACAUCGGAACGUGCCCGAUCGUGGGGGAUAACGAGGCGAAAGCUUUGCUAAUACCGCAUACGAUCUACGGAUGAAAGCAGGGGACCGCAAGGCCUUGCGCGGACGGAGCGGCCGAUGGCAGAUUAGGUAGUUGGUGGGAUAAAAGCUUACCAAGCCGACGAUCUGUAGCUGGUCUGAGAGGAUGAUCAGCCACACUGGGACUGAGACACGGCCCAGACUCCUACGGGAGGCGGCAGUGGGGAAUUUUGGACAAUGGGCGCAAGCCUGAUCCAGCCAUGCCGCGUGCAGGAUGAAGGCCUUCGGGUUGUAAACUGCUUUUGUACGGAACGAAAAGCCUUCUUUUAAUACAGGAGGGUCAUGACGGUACCGUAAGAAUAAGCACCGGCUAACUACGCG
rnacentral:rRNA from 1 species